UACGUAGGUGGCAAGCGUUGUCCGGAUUUACUGGGCGUAAAGAGCGCGCAGGCGGUCGUUCAAGUCGCGUGUGAAAGCCCCCGGCUCAACUGGGGAGGGUCACGCGAUACUGAUCGACUCGAAGGCAGGAGAGGGUAGUGGAAUUCCCGGUGUAGCAGUGAAAUGCGUAGAUAUCGGGAGGAACACCAGUGGCGAAGGCGGCCUUCUGGACCAGUACUGACGCUCAUGCACGAAAGCGUGGGGAGCAAACAGG
rnacentral:rRNA from 1 species